UUGAACGCUGGCGGCAGGCCUAACACAUGCAAGUCGAAUGGUAACAGGAAACAGCUUGCUGUUUCGCUGACGAGUGGCGGACGGGUGAGUAAUGUCUGGGAAACUGCCUGAUGGAGGGGGAUAACUACUGGAAACGGUAGCUAAUACCGCAUAACGUCGCAAGACCAAAGAGGGGGACCUUCGGGCCUCUUGCCAUCAGAUGUGCCCAGAUGGGAUUAGCUAGUAGGUGGGGUAACGGCUCACCUAGGCGACGAUCCCUAGCUGGUCUGAGAGGAUGACCAGCCACACUGGGACUGAGAUACGGUCCAGACUCCUACGGGAGGCAGCAGUGGGGAAUAUUGCACAAUGGGCGCAAGCCUGAUGCAGCCAUGCCGCGUGUAUGAAGAAGGCCUUCGGGUUGUAAAGUACUUUCAGCGGGGAGGAAGGGAGUAAAGUUAAUACCUUUGCUCAUUGACGUUACCCGCAGAAGAAGCACCGGCUAACUCCGUG
rnacentral:rRNA from 1 species